GAUGAACGCUGGCGGCGUGCCUAAUACAUGCAAGUCGAGCGAACGGACGAGAAGCUUGCUUCUCUGAUGUUAGCGGCGGACGGGUGAGUAACACGUGGAUAACCUACCUAUAAGACUGGGAUAACUUCGGGAAACCGGAGCUAAUACCGGAUAAUAUUUUGAACCGCAUGGUUCAAAAGUGAAAGACGGUCUUGCUGUCACUUAUAGAUGGAUCCGCGCUGCAUUAGCUAGUUGGUAAGGUAACGGCUUACCAAGGCAACGAUGCAUAGACGAGCUGAGAGGGUGAUCGGCCACACUGGAACUGAGACACGGUCCAGACUCCUACGGGAGGCAGCAGUAGGGAAUCUUCCGCAAUGGGCGAAAGCCUGACGGAGCAACGCCGCGUGAGUGAUGAAGGUCUUCGGAUCGUAAAACUCUGUUAUUAGUGAAGAACAUAUGUGUAAGUAACUGUGCACAUCUUGACGGUACCUAAUCAGAAAGCCACGGCUAACUACGUG
rnacentral:rRNA from 1 species